CCUACGGGCGGCUGCAGUGGGGAAUAUUGGACAAUGGGCGAAAGCCUGAUCCAGCCAUGCCGCGUGUGUGAAGAAGGCCUUCGGGUUGUAAAGCACUUUCAGUGGGGAAGAAAGCCUUGGGGCUAAUACCCUCGAGGAAGGACAUCACCCACAGAAGAAGCACCGGCUAACUCCGUGCCAGCAGCCGCGGUAAUACGGAGGGGUGCGAGCGUUAAUCGGAAUUACUGGGCGUAAAGCGCGCGUAGGCGGUCUGAUAAGCCGGUUGUGAAAGCCCCGGGCUCAACCUGGGAACGGCAUCCGGAACUGUCAGGCUAGAGUGCAGGAGAGGAAGGUAGAAUUCCCGGUGUAGCGGUGAAAUGCGUAGAGAUCGGGAGGAAUACCAGUGGCGAAGGCGGCCUUCUGGACUGACACUGACGCUGAGGUGCGAAAGCGUGGGUAGCAAACAGGAUUAGAUACCCUGGUAGUC
rnacentral:rRNA from 1 species